UUAAUUUUAGAAAAUUCUAUUUUUUUAAAUUGAUAAUAAGAAUUUGGUUUAAUAUUUUUUUAACCAUUUUAAAUAGCAUUAUAAAUUAGCAUUAUAAAUAAAUUUUUGAUUUUAUAAUUAAAAAAAAAAAGUUUUAUUAGAAAUUUUAAUAAAAAUUAUGUAAAUUAUUUAUAAAAAUACAUUUAUUUUUCAUUUAUAUUUUGUAUAUAUUAAAUUAAA
rnacentral:tRNA from 1 species